rnacentral:rRNA from 1 species
GAUCAAGCUAUAACGGGCGCUUGGCGGAUGCCUUGGCGUCAGAAACCGAAGAAGGGCGCAGCAGGCUGCGAUAAGCCACGGGGAGCCGCGAGCAGGCUUUGAUCCGUGGAUGCCCGAAUUGGGAAACCUGGCGGGGGUAAUGCCCCGUCACCCGCGGCUGAAGGCUUUCGAGCUGUAGUAGGCCCCGGGAGGGUACCGGGGGAACUGAAACAUCUAAGUACCCCGAGGAAACGAAAUCAACCGAGAUUCCCUGAGUAGUGGCGAGCGAAAGGGGAACAGCCCAAACCGCCAUUGUGUAAGGCCCACGCCGUUGCAAUCGCGGGGUUGUAGGAGCCGGUGGACACUCGUGGGAGUGUCACGCAGUUACCAAGCCGCUCACUAGCCGAAGGGGUUGGAACACCCCGCCAAAGACGGUGAGAGCCCGGUAGGCGAAAGUGAAGCGGCCUGCGACCGGAGUUCCUGAGUACCACGGGACACGUGUAACCCUGUGGGAAUCUGGGGGGCCCACCCUCCAAGGCUAAAUAUUUCUGGCGACCGAUAGUGAACAAGUACCGUGAGGGAAAGGCGAAAAGCACCCCGGAAGGGGAGUGAAAUAGAACCUGAAACCAAGCGCCUACAGACAGUCAGAGCGCUAUGCCGACUAGAGAUGCAGCUUGCGCGGCGAGGCGUGGGCGGCGGUCUUCGGACCACGGCCCGCGCAGCAAUGCGUGAGCUUGCGUCUCAACAUGACGGAAUGCGUGAUGGCGUGCCUUUUGGAGUAUGAACCGGCGAGUUACGCUACGCGGCAAGGCUAAGGGUCUUUGGUCCGGAGCCGUAGGGAAACCGAGUCUGAACAGGGCGACCAGUCGCGUGGAGUAGACCCGAAACCAGGUGAGCUACCCGUGGCCAGGAUGAAGCGUAAGUAACAUUCCGUGGAGGUCCGAACCCACCAGAGUUGCAAUUCUGGGGGAUGAGUUGCGGGUAGAGGUGAAAUGCUAAAC